CCAGACUCCUACGGGAGGCAGCAGUGAGGAAUAUUGGUCAAUGGGCGCGAGCCUGAGCCAGCCAAGUCGCGUGAGGGAGGACGGCCCUACGGGUUGUAAACCUCUUUUGCCGGGGAGCAACGGGCGUCACGUGUGGCGCCACUGAGAGUACCCGGAGAAAAAGCAUCGGCUAACUCCGUGCCAGCAGCCGCGGUAAUACGGAGGAUGCGAGCGUUAUCCGGAUUUAUUGGGUUUAAAGGGUGCGUAGGCGGAUCGUUAAGUCAGGGGUCAAAUGGGGGGGCUCAACCCCUUCGAGCCGUUGAAACUGGUUUUCUUGAGUGAGCGAGAAGUAUGCGGAAUGCGUGGUGUAGCGGUGAAAUGCAUAGAUAUCACGCAGAACUCCGAUUGCGAAGGCAGCAUACCGGCGCUCAACUGACGCUCAUGCACGAAAGUGUGGGUAUCGAACAGGAUUAGAUACCCUGGUAA
rnacentral:rRNA from 1 species